rnacentral:rRNA from 1 species
UUUGGUUAAGUUAGAAAGGGCGCACGGUGGAUGCCUUGACACUAGGAGUCGAUGAAGGACGGGACUAACGCCGAUAUGCUUUCGGGGAGCUGUAAGUAAGCUUUGAUCCGAAGAAUUUCCGAAUGGGGAAACCCACCAUACGUAAUGGUAUGGUAUCCUUAUUCUGAAUACAUAGGGUAAGGAAGACAGACCCAGGGAACUGAAACAUCUAAGUACCUGGAGGAAGAGAAAGCAAAUGCGAUUUCCUGAGUAGCGGCGAGCGAAACGGAACAUAGCCCAAACCAAGAGGCUUGCCUCUUGGGGUUGUAGGACAUUCUAUACGGAGUUACAAAGGAACGAGGUAGACGAAGCGACCUGGAAAGGUCCGUCGUAGAGGGUAACAACCCCGUAGUCGAAACUUCGUUCUCUCUUGAAUGUAUCCUGAGUACGGCGGAACACGUGAAAUUCCGUCGGAAUCUGGGAGGACCAUCUCCCAAGGCUAAAUACUCCCUAGUGAUCGAUAGUGAACCAGUACCGUGAGGGAAAGGUGAAAAGCACCCCGGAAGGGGAGUGAAAGAGAUCCUGAAACCGUGUGCCUACAAAUAGUCAGAGCCCGUUAACGGGUGAUGGCGUGCCUUUUGUAGAAUGAACCGGCGAGUUACGAUCCCGUGCGAGGUUAAGCUGAAGAGGCGGAGCCGCAGCGAAAGCGAGUCUGAAUAGGGCGUUUAGUACGUGGUCGUAGACCCGAAACCAGGUGAUCUACCCAUGUCCAGGGUGAAGUUCAGGUAACACUGAAUGGAGGCCCGAACCCACGCACGUUGAAAAGUGCGGGGAUGAGGUGUGGGUAGCGGAGAAAUUCCAAUCGAACCUGGAGAUAGCUGGUUCUCCCCGAAAUAGCUUUAGGGCUAGCCUUAAGUGUAAGAGUCUUGGAGGUAGAGCACUGAUUGGACUAGGGGUCCUCAUCGGAUUACCGAAUUCAGUCAAACUCCGAAUGCCAAUGACUUAUCCUUAGGAGUCAGACUGCGAGUGAUAAGAUCCGUAGUCAAAAGGGAAACAGCCCAGACCGCCAGCUAAGGUCCCAAAGUGUGUAUUAAGUGGAAAAGGAUGUGGAGUUGCUUAGACAACUAGGAUGUUGGCUUAGAAGCAGCCACCAUUUAAAGAGUGCGUAAUAGCUCACUAGUCGAGUGACUCUGCGCCGAAAAUGUACCGGGGCUAAAUACACCACCGAAGCUGCGGAUUGAUACCGAAUGGUAUCAGUGGUAGGGGAGCGUUCUAAGGACAGUGAAGUCAGACCGUAAGGACUGGUGGAGUGCUUAGAAGUGAGAAUGCCGGUAUGAGUAGCGAAAGACGGGUGAGAAUCCCGUCCACCGAAUGCCUAAGGUUUCCUGAGGAAGGCUCGUCCGCUCAGGGUUAGUCAGGACCUAAGCCGAGGCCGACAGGCGUAGGCGAUGGACAACAGGUUGAUAUUCCUGUACCACCUCUUUAUCGUUUGAGCAAUGGAGGGACGCAGAAGGAUAGAAGAAGCGUGCGAUUGGUUGUGCACGUCCAAGCAGUUAGGCUGAUAAGUAGGCAAAUCCGCUUAUCGUGAAGGCUGAGCUGUGAUGGGGAAGCUCCUUAUGGGGCGAAGUCUUUGAUUCCCCGCUGCCAAGAAAAGCUUCUAGCGAGAUAAAAGGUGCCUGUACCGCAAACCGACACAGGUAGGCGAGGAGAGAAUCCUAAGGUGUGCGAGAGAACUCUGGUUAAGGAACUCGGCAAAAUGACCCCGUAACUUCGGGAGAAGGGGUGCUUUCUUAACGGAAAGCCGCAGUGAAUAGGCCCAAGCGACUGUUUAGCAAAAACACAGCUCUCUGCGAAGCCGUAAGGCGAAGUAUAGGGGGUGACACCUGCCCGGUGCUGGAAGGUUAAGGAGAGGGGUUAGCGUAAGCGAAGCUCUGAACUGAAGCCCCAGUAAACGGCGGCCGUAACUAUAACGGUCCUAAGGUAGCGAAAUUCCUUGUCGGGUAAGUUCCGACCCGCACGAAAGGUGUAACGAUUUGGGCACUGUCUCAACCAGAGACUCGGUGAAAUUAUAGUACCUGUGAAGAUGCAGGUUACCCGCGACAGGACGGAAAGACCCCGUGGAGCUUUACUGUAGCCUGAUAUUGAAUUUUGGUACAGUUUGUACAGGAUAGGCGGGAGCCAUUGAAACCGGAGCGCUAGCUUCGGUGGAGGCGCUGGUGGGAUACCGCCCUGACUGUAUUGAAAUUCUAACCUACGGGUCUUAUCGACCCGGGAGACAGUGUCAGGUGGGCAGUUUGACUGGGGCGGUCGCCUCCUAAAGUGUAACGGAGGCGCCCAAAGGUUCCCUCAGAAUGGUUGGAAAUCAUUCGUAGAGUGCAAAGGCAUAAGGGAGCUUGACUGCGAGACCUACAAGUCGAGCAGGGACGAAAGUCGGGCUUAGUGAUCCGGUGGUUCCGCAUGGAAGGGCCAUCGCUCAACGGAUAAAAGCUACCCCGGGGAUAACAGGCUUAUCUCCCCCAAGAGUCCACAUCGACGGGGAGGUUUGGCACCUCGAUGUCGGCUCAUCGCAUCCUGGGGCUGUAGUCGGUCCCAAGGGUUGGGCUGUUCGCCCAUUAAAGCGGUACGCGAGCUGGGUUCAGAACGUCGUGAGACAGUUCGGUCCCUAUCCGUCGUGGGCGUAGGAAAUUUGAGAGGAGCUGUCCUUAGUACGAGAGGACCGGGAUGGACGCACCGCUGGUGUACCAGUUGUUCUGCCAAGGGCAUAGCUGGGUAGCUAUGUGCGGAAGGGAUAAGUGCUGAAAGCAUCUAAGCAUGAAGCCCCCCUCAAGAUGAGAUUUCCCAUAGCGUAAGCUAGUAAGAUCCCUGAAAGAUGAUCAGGUUGAUAGGUUCGAGGUGGAAGCAUGGUGACAUGUGGAGCUGACGAAUACUAAUAGAUCGAGGACUUAACCAUAUAA